UACAGAGGGUGCAAGCGUUGUUCGGAAUUAUGGCGUAAAGCGCGUGUAGGCGGCUUUGCAAGUCGGGUGUGAAAUCCCCAGGCUUAACCUGGGAACUGCAUUCGAGACUGCAUUACUAGAGUAUGGGAGAGGGAAGUGGAAUUUCCGGUGUAGCGGUGAAAUGCGUAGAUAUCGGAAGGAACAUCAGUGGCGAAAGCGACUUCCUGGACCAAUACUGACGCUCAUGUGCGAAAGCGUGGGGAGCAAACAGG
rnacentral:rRNA from 1 species